CCUUAACCCUAGUGUUUAGCAUCCACGUUAAAAUAGCAUAACGAACUUCAACUCUGCUUUAAAAGAAAAGAAGUAGGAAAGGAAGACACCAAACUGGAAGUCAGAACUAAAAAAACAAACGGCAGGCGGGAGGGUUCCUGUGUAAAACAGCACAGCAACAGGCCCACAGUGAUAAACUCUACUCCACGGUUUCACCCCACCACUUGUCACCUGACAGAAGAACCCUGCCUCUCCACAAUCCCUGGGAAGACACUGAGAGUCCUGGAGGUGGCGUGGGAUCACAGAGUUUAGGAGAUUGGGGAACAGUGAGCCUUGUGAGGCUGCGGGGAAGCGGGGCGCGCCGGUCGGGGUCUUCCUCCAGCUGAGCCCCCGGAGCCCUGAAUCCGGAGAGUGCGCCCCGCCCUGCGCCGCGCCCCCGGACCUCCCGGUUAUCCGCAGGCCCCCAGGCGCGGCGCCGCCCCGCCGCCUAGCAGACAAGGCUGGGUUCCCAGUAGCCCGGUGGCCUAAGUCAGCCGGGUGGCCUGUGUCGGAGACUGCCGGCAGUGAUAUCUUGUUCCACAUCCCUGAAUCAUCAUCUUUGAAAUUAUAAGACAUGGAGGAUGAAGAUAAGACAGUUGGAUGUCAGGAAUCAAAGCCAUCCACAGGGACCAGUCACACAGCUUCUGUGCAUCAAGGACCACGGGAGGAGAGAGUCAUGAACCUCAAAGAUGGGAAUGAGCCAACAGAAGACAGCAAUCUGCUCAACAGUGAUGAAAAAAAGCCGCAGGAAUUGGCAAGAGAAUCCAGUCACCUGCAGAGUCUGAGACGGAUACUGGCUUGCCCUCCACAUGGCUGGCUGAGCAAAGUGAUAACCAAUGGUACCAUGGUUGUUCUCCUGUGGGCUGUGGUGUGGUCAGUUACCGGCCCCGAGUGUCUUCCUGGAGGAAAUCUGUUUGGAAUCAUAAUCCUAUUCUAUUGUGCUGUCACUGGAGGCAAAAUCUUUGGACUCAUUAAGUUACCAACCUUGCCUCCUCUGCCUCCUCUUCUUGGCAUGCUGCUUGCUGGGUUUCUCUUGAGAAAUGUCCCAGUCAUCAGUGAUAAUGUCCGGAUCCAGCAUAAGUGGUCUUCUUCUUUGAGAAGCAUAGCCCUUUCUGUCAUUUUGGUUCGUGCUGGCCUCGGUCUGGACCCAAAGGCGCUGAAGAAACUGAAGGGGGUGUGUGUCCGACUGGCCGUGGGUCCCUGCGUUGUGGAGGCGUGUACUUCUGCGCUCCUUUCCCACUUCCUGAUGGGCUUGCCUUGGCAGUGGGGGUUCAUACUAGGUUUUGUCAUAGGUGCUGUGUCUCCAGCUGUCGUGGUCCCUUCGAUGCUCCUUCUGCAAGAAGGAGGCUACGGUGUUGAAAAAGGUGUUCCAACUUUACUCAUGGCCGCUGGCAGCUUUGAUGACAUUUUGGCCAUCACUGGCUUCAACACAUGCUUGGGUGUGGCCUUUUCCACAGGGUCUACAGUUUUUAACAUCUUCAGGGGCAUUUUGGAGGUGGUAAUUGGCAUGGCUACUGGAUCUUUUCUUGGGUUUUUUAUACAGUACUUUCCAAGCAGUGACCAGGACAACCUUGUGUGGAAGCGAGCCUUCCUGGUUCUGGGCUUUGCUGUGCUAGCUGUGUUCAGCAGUGUUUAUUUUGGCUUCCCAGGGUCAGGAGGACUGUCCACACUGGUCAUGGCUUUCCUUGCAGGCAUGAGAUGGAGUGACAAGAAGUCAGAGGUAGAAAAGAUAAUUGCAGUCACCUGGGACAUUUUCCAGCCCCUUCUGUUUGGCCUGAUUGGAGCAGAGGUAUCUAUUGCAUCGCUCAGACCAGAAACUGUUGGAAUCCUAUUUCCUGCCAUCCUCUACUGAAUUGCAAGUAUUUCCCCUUAUUUUUAUUCAUCUUUAAAAAUGAGUAUGCACAGAUAGAUGUAGCGCCUCUCUCUCUCUCUCUCUCUCUCUCUCUCUCUCUCUCUCUCUCUCUCUCUGUGUGUGUGUGUGUGUGUGUGUGUGUGUGUGUGUGUGGUGUGUGUGUGAAUACAGGUGCACCCACGACCAAGCCGCACAUGUGGAGGUUCAGGAUUCAGUUCUCACUUUCCACCUUGUUGGAGCAGAAUCUUUCAUGUUGCUGCUGCUGUGCUGCAUGUCCCAGGCGAGCUGGCCUAAAAGCUUCUGGGCCAAAAGCAUCUCUCCCUCCCAUCUUGCCUGAGGAAUGCUGGUAUUACAGAUGCAUGCCAUGGUACCCAGCUUUUUAAGCGAGUUUCAAGGAUUGAACUUGGGACAUCAGCCUUGAGGAACUAGUACUUUUACACCAUCUUCCUGGCCGUUUUUUAUAUCUGUUAAUAUGCCAUCUACAGGCUUCUCUUUAGAAUUUAAAUUUUCUAAUGUCACAUUUCUUCAAAGAAUAUCCUUUCUUUCUGAUACAUACCAGACACGGGUGAAGUUUAACGACAUUAUGAUAAGUGAAAUAAGACAGCCACAAAAAUGCCAAUACUGUAUCACUCCACUUAUAUGAGCAAUAUGUAACUAGAAACUAAGGCACGGUCACAAUGGCAUAAAAUAAAAGUAUGGGUUUCCAGGGCUGGGGGCUGAGGGAAAUAGGAAAGUGCUGUUUAAUGGGUAUACAAUUUAAAUUUUGCUAAUGAAAAUGUUCUGGAGUUUGGUCACGCAGUAGUAUAGAUUUAUUUAAUGCUACUGAGCCCUGCACUUAAAAGCGGUAAAGAUGGAGGAUCUCUGAGAUGGCACAGCAGUUCGAGAAGACUGCUACACAAGCCAGGACGCCCAAGUUUGAACCCACGAAGCCACGUCGAAGUGGAAGGGAGAACCAGCUCCACAAGGCUGUCCUCUACAUGUCCGACCUCUAAUUUCACAUCGCGGCACAGACAGACAGACAGACAGACAGACCGAUUUUUAAAUUGGCCUGUGUGUUGCCACGCUUGGCACUGCAGUAUUGAUACGAAUGUUGAUGACAUUUCUGAUGGUGUGUUUUGCUGGUUUUAACAUAAAGGAAAAGAUAUUUAUUUCUUUUGC